AAGUCGUAACAAGGUUUCCGUAGGUGAACCUGCGGAAGGAUCAUUACAGAGUUCAUGCCCUCACGGGUAGAUCUCCCACCCUUGCGUAUUCAUACCUUUGUUGCUUUGGCAGGCCGCCUGGGCUCAUGCCUGGCCACCGGCUCUCGGGCUGGUGCGUGCCUGCCAGAGGAUCUCCAAACUCCAGUUAUCAGUGUUGUCUGAGUCUUAUACAAUCGUUAAAACUUUCAACAACGGAUCUCUUGGUUCUG
rnacentral:misc_RNA from 1 species